rnacentral:rRNA from 1 species
AAUCUUACGCAAUGGACGAAAGGCUGACGGAGCAACGCCGCGUGAGUUAUGAAGGUCUUCGGAUCGUAAAGUCUGUUGUUAGGGAAGAACAAGUAACGUACGAAUAGGGAGGUACAUUGACGGUACCUAACCAGAACACCACGCAUAACUACGUGACAGCAGCCGCGGUAAUACGGAGGGGGCGAGCGUAGUCCGGAUUUACGUGGUGUAAAGGACGCGCAGGCGGUUUAGUAAGUCAGCUGGGAAAGUCCAGGGCUUAAACCUGGAAUUGCAGUUGAAACUACAAAACUUGAGAUAAGGAGAGGAGAGCGGAAUUCCUAGUGUAGCGGUGAAAUGCGUAGAUAUUAGGAAGAACACCAGUGGCGAAGGCGGCUCUCUGGCCUUACCCUGACGCUGAGGCGCGAAAGCGUGGGUAGCGAACA